GUGAACCUUUACUAUAGCUUAGCAUUGGGUUUUAGCAUUAUAUGUGUAGGAUAGGUGGGAGACUGUGAAGCCGUUACGCUAGUAGCGGUGGAGUCACCCUUGGAAUACCACCCUUGUAUUGUUGAAAUCCUAACUUUGAGCCGUGAAGCCGGUUUAAGGACAUUGCUAGGUGGGUAGUUUGACUGGGGCGGUCGCCUCCAAAAGCGUAACGGAGGCGCCCAAAGGUUCCCUCAGCACGGUCGGUAAUCGUGCGUAGAGUGUAAAGGCAUAAGGGAGCUUAACUGUAAGACAUACAGGUCGAGCAGAUACGAAAGUAGGGCUUAGUGACCCGACGGUAGCGCGUGGAAGCGCCGAAGAUCAACGGAUAAAAGGUACUCCGGGGAUAACAGGCUUAUCGGGCCCAAGAGUUCACAUCGACGGCCCGGUUUGGCACCUCGAUGUCGGCUCAUCGCAUCCUGGGGCUGGAGAAGGUCCCAAGGGUUUGGCUGUUCGCCAAUUAAAGCGGUACGUGAGCUGGGUUUAGAACGUCGUGAGACAGUUCGGUCCCUAUCUGUUGCGGGCGUAGGAUAUCUGAGGGGAGCUGCUCUCAGUACGAGAGGACCAGAGCGGACGGACCUCUAGUGUACCAGUUGUCGCGCCAGCGGCACCGCUGGGUAGCUAUGUCCGGAUGGGAUAAGCGCUGAAAGCAUCUAAGCGCGAAGCCCACCCCAAGAUAAGAUAUCCCUCCCGAAUUUUUUCGGGACUAAAGGCCCCUCGGAGAUGACGAGGUUGAUAGGCCACAGGUGUAAGUCCUGUAAAGGAUUUAGCCGAGUGGUACUAAUAGGCCGUGAGGCUUAACCGAA
rnacentral:rRNA from 1 species